UACAUGCAGUCGAGCGGACCGACGGGAGCUUGCUCCCUUAGGUCAGCGGCGGACGGGUGAGUAACACGUGGGUAACCUGCCUGUAAGACUGGGAUAACUCCGGGAAACCGGGGCUAAUACCGGAUGCUUGAUUGAACCGCAUGGUUCAAUCAUAAAAGGUGGCUUUUAGCUACCACUUGCAGAUGGACCCGCGGCGCAUUAGCUAGUUGGUGAGGUAACGGCUCACCAAGGCGACGAUGCGUAGCCGACCUGAGAGGGUGAUCGGCCACACUGGGACUGAGACACGGCCCAGACUCCUACGGGAGGCAGCAGUAGGGAAUCUUCCGCAAUGGACGAAAGUCUGACGGAGCAACGCCGCGUGAGUGAUGAAGGUUUUCGGAUCGUAAAACUCUGUUGUUAGGGAAGAACAAGUACCGUUCGAAUAGGGCGGUACCUUGACGGUACCUAACCAGAAAGCCACGGCUAACUACGUGCCAGCAGCCGCGGUAAUACGUAGGUGGCAAGCGUUGUCCGGAAUUAUUGGGCGUAAAGCGCGCGCAGGCGGUUUCUUAAGUCUGAUGUGAAAGCCCCCGGCUCAACCGGGGAGGGUCAUUGGAAACUGGGGAACUUGAGUGCAGAAGAGGAGAGUGGAAUUCCACGUGUAGCGGUGAAAUGCGUAGAGAUGUGGAGGAACACCAGUGGCGAAGGCGACUCUCUGGUCUGUAACUGACGCUGAAGCGCGAAAGCGUGGGGAGCGAACAGGAUUAGAUACCCUGGGUAGUCCACGCCGUAAACGAUGAGUGCUAAGUGUUAAAGGGUUUCCGCCCUUUAGUGCUGCAGCAAACGCAUUAAGCACUCCGCCUGGGGGAGUACGGUCGCAAGACUGAAACUCAAAGGAAUUGACGGGGGCCCGCACAAGCGGUGGAGCAUGUGGUUUAAUUCGAAGCAACGCGAAGAACCUUACCAGGUCUUGACAUCCUCUGACAACCCUAGAAAUAGGGCUUCCCCUUCGGGGGCAGAGUGACAGGUGGUGCAUGGUUGUCGUCAGCUCGGUCCUGGAAAUGUUGGUUAAGUCCGCACCGAGCGCACCUGAUCUUAGUUGCAAGCAUCAGUGGCCCUCUAAGGGGACUGC
rnacentral:rRNA from 1 species